rnacentral:snoRNA from 1 species
ACACUGAUAGACCUUGAACAAUUUACUGUAGUUCUUUUGGUUUGCCCUUGAAGAGGAAAGAAAAAGAAAAUCUCAGCACUUUCUGUCUCUAUGGCAGUCAAACAAGAGAGAACAUCU